ACGACCACACCUAGGCGAAAACACCAGUUCCCGUCCGAUCACUGCAGUUAAGCGUCUGAGGGUCUCGUUAGUACUAUGGUUGGAGACAACAUGGGAAUCCGGGAUGCUGUAGGCU
rnacentral:rRNA from 1 species